rnacentral:lncRNA from 1 species
AAUAUAUUACCCAUUUACACAGCAGGGUGAUUUUUACUGCAUCACUUCAGGGUAAGUACCUUGAGAGAAGGCGUUAUAGCAGGAGUGGGAUUGAAACUCAUCCUGAUGUUCCAGGUCAGACCCAUUGCCUAAAUGUACUGUGUACAUAACUGAGAGGAUAACUUCUGAAAAUUAAUUUAAUACCCCCCCCCCCCCCCCCCCCCAUUUCUUGUAUUUUAGAGGCCAAUAUGAGGACUCAGUCCGAGUGGACAUUUUACCCCAACUACGGACAGCCUACAGCCUUCCAUACAGGCAAGCGCUGCAUAUUUGAUGGGGGUCUUCAUUACAGAAGCUUGAGGAGCUCCUCUGAAGCAACCUUGGAACCAGUGAUGAUGAGGAAAAGGCAAAUACAAUGCAGUGAUUGCUCAAGUAAUGCCGGAAAGCCAUAUUUAAAUCCUGAGUACAGCCCUGACUUCCACAAGUUUGGUUCUACAGGUUUGGGGUCGUCUGGUCCCCCGAAGGCCGACACGUUCAUUCCCUUGUUUCCCGUGGUGGCACCGGCAUGCAAAUCCUACAAGGAAAAGCGGAAGAUGAAACAGCGAGAGGAGGAAAUCCUGGAAGUACGAAAACUUAACGAAUGGAGGCCGGCGACGCCCGUCUACCACUCGUCUUUGCAGGAUGAAAACGGGAAGCGGUAGAGACACCGCAGGACGCCGCCGUGCAGAAGAUGGAAGGAGAGGCACAGUAACCGUGGGCCGGAAUUUCGGCAGCGACUGGCAGCACCAGUGGCACCACGACGGCUUCUCCUACGGGGAUCUCCUCGGGUUUGCGUCAUGCAUAAAACUGGUAUUUUUUAUGCAGAAAUCCUCACAUUUUUAUACACUCAAGUACAUACAGUAUGUAUCAACAUAUUUGCAGUCAUGCACACAAUACAUGUAUGCAGCUGUGCACAGAGGCAGACACAUGCACGCACACACACACACACACACACACGCUCGUCUGCACAAGCACUCACAUUAAAUGCACUUUUAAAGCUGGAAAGGAACCAUCCACCCAGCUAAGCACAAAUUAACACACAAGAGGAAAUGUCAAGAAGCUUAUGACAUCAAAAGAGUUCUUGAUGCACAUGGUUUGUAAUUUAUGAUUAGUGGUUCCGAUUCAACAAAUAGCCUUCGCUGACUGAACUUCGAUUUAUUUUUUGUCUCGCGGAGACGCCGUUGUACUGGCUCAAGAGACAUGGUAAACGUAGUGGAAAAUGGGGGCGUCGGAGGCGCUCAUGUCUGGGAAAGAGGAACCAUCUGAGGUCAAACAUUGGGAAGGCAGCGCUGCCAGGUGGUUGGAUUGUACUGAGUUGCAAAUGUCACCUGUCAGCAACAGUAAAUAACCUGACCUUUACUUUGCUUCGUUCACCACAAUGGCGCAUCUAGUGGAUUUCCUCUAACUCCCCUAUUGGGUAGGUAAAUGACACUGCACUCACGUGUUUGGCAAAAAACGAGCUUUGAAAUACCAGCUGCAAGUUCCUGGGGGAGGGUUUGCAUUUGUGUACAGCUGCGAACUCACGGCUGGAAUCAAGUGUAUCGUGGCCUGAAAAUGUUUCUUUCGAAGUGCAGUCACGUGAUGAGUUGCAAUAACGUAUGAACUUGGGGUGUUUUGAAAUUUCAAUAUUUGGAAAGUCAAAACUGCACUGCAUUUUAACUAUGUUAACUAAAUAAACUUAGUUUUCUUCAGUUACGUUUUUAAAUU